AGGACCAGGGCAAGGAUCCCGGUUCAAGGCCCUGGCUCCCAACCUGCAGGGGGAUCACUUCACAGGUGGUGAAGCAGGUCUAUCUUUCUCUCCCCCUCUCUGUCUUCCCUUCCUCUCUUGUUUUCUCUCUGUCCUAUCCAACAACAAUGACAGCAGUGAUGACAACAAUAAUAACAAUGUUAAACAACAAGGGCAACAAAAGGAAAAAAAUGGCCUCCAGGAGCAGUGGAUUCAUAGUGCAGGCACUGAACCCCAGUGAUAACCCUGGAGGCAAAAAAAAAAAAAAAAAAAAACCUUACCUCUCCCAUCUUUCUAUUUGUGAGUUUUUCAACAUCUGACCACCUGACCUCAAAGUCAGCCCAUGUCCUCCUCACACAUGCUCCUGCAUCUGACCUGAGAGAACCAAUGAAGCCUUGCUGGCAGGUGAUGGGGCAGAGGCAAUAGAGAGCACUGGGAAGAAGCUGUGCAAAGGAGGGCACAUACUGAUGGAUCCUUAGAAAGUCACUCGUGAUAAACACUGGUGUGUUUCUGCAAUCUGGCUUUCAAAGGUUCCUGAACUGGGGGCAAUUAACAGAGCCCGGGAAGCCAAGAAAAUGCACUCCACCAAGUUACAGAUGCUACCAUGACACAAUCUGACUUCCUUGAGCAGAUGGCCUCACCAAUGAGUCUUGGGAUUCCACCUCCACAGAGCCCUAUUCCUCUAGAGAAAGAAAUAGGCUGAGAGUAGGGAUUGACCUGCCAAUGCCCAUCUCCAGAAGAGAAGCAGUUACAGAAGACAGACCUUCCACCUUCUGCACCCCAUAAAGAUCUUUGGUCCAUAGUUUCAGAGGGAUAAAAGUAUAGGGAAGCUUCCAAUGGAGGGGAUGGGAUGUGGAACUCUGGUAGUAGGAGAUGUACCCCGUCUUAUCCCACAAUCUUUUUUUUUUUUUUUGCCUCCAGGAUUAUCACUGAGGCUCUGCACCUGCACUAUGAGUCCACUGCUCCUGGAAGCCAUUUUGUUGUGCUUGUUGUUGUUGUCAUUGCUGUUGUUGUUGGGUAGUACUGAGAGAAAUCAAGAGAGGAGGGAAGAUAGAGAGGGGGAGAGAAAGAUAGGUACCUGCAGACCUGCUUCACCGCCUGUGAAGAGACCUCCCCUGCAGGUUGGGAGCCAGGGGUUUGAACUGGGAUCCUUGCAGAGGUCCUUGCACAGGUCCGUGGCUUUGCACCACGUGCGCUUAACCAACUCUGCCUUACUGCUCGGCCCCCUCCCACAAUCUUGUUGAUAAUUAUUAAACCACUAAUAAAAAUUUUAAAAAGAA